AAGUCGAGCGGGCGUAGCAAUACGUCAGCGGCAGACGGGUGAGUAACGCGUGGGAACGUACCUUUUGGUUCGGAACAACACAGGGAAACUUGUGCUAAUACCGGAUAAGCCCUUACGGGGAAAGAUUUAUCGCCGAAAGAUCGGCCCGCGUCUGAUUAGCUAGUUGGUAGGGUAACGGCCUACCAAGGCGACGAUCAGUAGCUGGUCUGAGAGGAUGAUCAGCCACAUUGGGACUGAGACACGGCCCAAACUCCUACGGGAGGCAGCAGUGGGGAAUAUUGGACAAUGGGGGCAACCCUGAUCCAGCCAUGCCGCGUGAGUGAUGAAGGCCCUAGGGUUGUAAAGCUCUUUUGUGCGGGAAGAUAAUGACGGUACCGCAAGAAUAAGCCCCGGCUAACUUCGUGCCAGCAGCCGCGGUAAUACGAAGGGGGCUAGCGUUGCUCGGAAUCACUGGGCGUAAAGGGUGCGUAGGCGGGUCUUUAAGUCAGGGGUGAAAUCCUGGAGCUCAACUCCAGAACUGCCUUUGAUACUGAAGAUCUUGAGUUCGGGAGAGGUGAGUGGAACUGCGAGUGUAGAGGUGAAAUUCGUAGAUAUUCGCAAGAACACCAGUGGCGAAGGCGGCUCAC
rnacentral:rRNA from 1 species